AGCUUUGCGCAGUGGCAGUAUCAUAGCCAAUGAAGUUUAUCCGAGGCGUGAUUAUUGCUAAUUGAAACAAAAGAAUAGGA
rnacentral:snRNA from 1 species